CUAUCAUUUUGCUAUCUGCAAUCUCAUUAUAUCAAUAAAUCCACGUUUGAGCACACUUAGAGAUAUGCAGUCUUUCCAAAAACUCCAAUGUAUCGAGGCCUUGAAUUUCGGUUAAGUUUCUGCAGCUUUUAGCUUUUAAUUCCUUUAGUCUCCCGGAUUUUGGAAGGAUCAACCGUCCAAUUGAAGUGCACUUAGAGAUAUCCAAUCUUUCCAAAAACUCCAAACUAUCGAGAUCUUGAAUUUCGGCUAAGUUUGUGCAGCCUUCAGCUUUUAAUUCCUUCAAUCUUUCCAAAAACUCCAAUGUAUCGAGGCCUUGAAUUUCGGUUAAGUUUCUGCAGCUUUUAGCUUUUAAUUCCUUUAGCCUCCCGGAUUUUGGAAGGAUCAACCGUCCAAUUGAAGUGCACUUAGAGAUAUCCAAUCUUUCCAAAAACUCCAAACUAUCG
rnacentral:lncRNA from 1 species